rnacentral:rRNA from 1 species
CCUACGGGAGGCAGCAGUAGGGAAUUUUCGUCAAUGGGCGCAAGCCUGAACGCGCAAUGCCGCGUGAACGAGGAAGGUCUUCGGAUCGUAAAGUUCUGUUGAAGGGGAAAAAGCGCGGAGAGAGGAAAUGCUUUCUGAUUGCUAUUACCCUUCGACGUAGUCACGGCUAACUCCGUGCCAGCGGCCGCGGUAAUACGUAGGUGGCGAGCGUUAUCCAGAAUGAUUUGGCGUAAAGGGUGCGUAGGCGGCCUGCUAAGUCUGGAGUGACAGGUAACGGCUCAACCGGUACAGGCGCUGGAAACUGGCGGGAGAGAGAGCAGGAGAGGGCGGUGGAACGACAGGUGUAGCGGUAAAAUGCGUAGAGAUAUGGAAGAACACAAGUGGCGAAGGCGGCCGCCUGGCCUGUUACUGACGCUGAGGCACGAAAGCGUGGGGAGCAAAUAGGAUUAGAUACCCGUGUAGUC